CUAGGAUGAACGCUAGCGACAGGCUAACACAUGCAAGUCGAGGGCAGCAUAAAAGUAGCAUACUUGGUGGCGACCGGCGCACGGGUGAGUAACGCGUAUCGCAACCUACCUAUCAGAGGGGAAUAACCCGGCGAAAGUCGGACUAAUACCGCAUAAAACAGGGGCACCGCAUGGUGAUAUUUGUUAAAGAAAUUCGCUGAUAGAUGGGCAUGCGUUCCAUUAGGUAGUUGGUGAGGUAACGGCUCACCAAGCCGACGAUGGAUAGGGGAACUGAGAGGUUGGUCCCCCACACUGGUACUGAGACACGGACCAGACUCCUACGGGAGGCAGCAGUGAGGAAUAUUGGUCAAUGGGCGGGAGCCUGAACCAGCCAAGUCGCGUGAAGGGAAAAGAAGGAUCUAUGGCUCGUAAACUUCUUUUGCAGGGGAAUAAAGUGCAGGACGUGUCCUGUUUUGUAUGUACCCUGAGAAUAAGGAUCGGCUAACUCCGUGCCAGCAGCCGC
rnacentral:rRNA from 1 species